AACGUAUGACGCAAGCGUUAUCCGGAGUUACUGGGCGUAAAGCGCGGGCAGGCGGCUCGAUGCGUCUGAUGUGAAAUCUCCUCGCUCAACGGGGAGAGGCCAUUGGAAACGGUCGGGCUGGAGGGCAGUAGAGGCAGGCGGAAUUCCGGGUGGAGUGGUGAAAUGCGUAGAGAUCCGGAGGAGCACCAGAGGCGAAGGCGGCCUGCUGGGCUGCACCUGACGCUGAGCCGCGAAAUCCAGGGGAGCGAACGGG
rnacentral:rRNA from 1 species